CGCGGGAGCGCCGGGGCGAGCCCGACGGACUGCAAGCCAGGAACGGAGGCAUGGGUGGCGGGGGGCGCCGUCUGAUCCAGGUAGGAGCGGAGGCGCCGAUCACACACUCUUCAGACGCCCUGCCCGCGCCUGGUCAGCGCGCAGCCUGCAGGACGCGCGGAGCAGGAACUCGCUGGAGUUUGCCAAGCCCCAGGUCUCUGGAAAGUUGUAGCUCCCUUUCGGAGCGUCUCUUCUGGCCCUUUGGGACGGGUGUGUCAGGGGCGGGGGUCCUCGAGGGAGCAGGAGGGGAAAGGAGCACCGGGUCUCAGCACCUGUCCGCAGCUCCCCUCGGGUCCGCCUGCCCCCUACCAGGCUGGGCAAAGAGGGGUUGUAUGCUGAUCAAAUGAAGUAAUGAUACAUAUGAAAGCAGUCACCCCAUUCACAAGCUGUGUCUCGUUGCCAACCUCGUACCCCUUUCUCAUUUCACUGUCAGGACACCUUGGGAAGCGAGUCAGAUGAGAACAGAAAAGGGUAGAUUCUGAAUACCUUGCUGUGGCUACCAUCACUUCUAGAGCCCCAGAUUUCUUAUCUAAGGAUUAACAUUUUUUCAAAUCUCCCUUCUGGGAAAAGGGAUUUCAUAAAAAUGCAAAUUGUGAAUGGAUUAUUUCAUUAUAUCUCAUGACCAACCACUGGGUCCACUCUGAGCUUGCCUUAUAUUUAGGCCCAGGAUGUCUUUCCCACCAUCCUGCCAGAAUGCCUGAAGCUCCCAGCACUGGAGUCCAUUCCUGUUGGGGAAGAGAUUCUGGUCAUUCCCACAUAGCUUGCCAGAGGAAGAAUACGGCCGACUGCCAGGGAUGGCGAACUCCCCUAACACGUGUCAUUCUCAGUGUUCAGACAUUGGUCUUCCAGUCCUCAUAUCAGUCUUGAUUCUUAGUUGUAGGCACUCAAAAAUGACUCUGGCUGAUCUAAGCAAAAUGGAAUUUAUUUCAAAGAUAUUGGUGAGCCCACAGAAUUAGCAGAAUGCUGGAGAACUUGGCCAAUUGGCUCUGCUACCAGAAACAAGGUUGAAAAAUCAUACUGUGGAACUGGCCCAGGAAAACACCAUGAAGGACAUAGGCAGCCUUGCCACUCCUGCCUCUGGAAACUGGAUGUAAUUGUCUCUGCCACCACACUGUCACCUGUAGAUAGUCAGAGUCUCUGUGAACCUGUGUCCCUGCUUCUUCCCAUCACUGGUUUCUGAUUCGAACCUAGAGUGGGUGGGAUUCUCUCAAAUCAGCAAAGACCAGAUGGUAUGGCCAAGCCCUGGCUUGGCUGCAAAGAAGGCUGGUGAACAGAUCAUCUGAUAUUUUGAGCUUUAACUCUGGGAAGUAGACUUUGCCUCUUAAAGGUAGAGGAUACUCCAAACAGAGGAAGGAGGUUCAGAUGCUGGAUGGCCAGAAUACGCACAUCUCCCUUCCAGCCUUCCGCCACGGUCUCUUGUGAGCAUUGCCUAAACAAAUCGGCAUUAUUUAAUCCAGCUAGCUGUGGGACACAGAUACAGUCAGGAUUCCGAAACCUCUGCAUCUGAGGGCCAGAAAAAUGGACUCUUGGGAAGCUCCUAGGAGGAACACCAUCCAGCUGAUGUCGCCCUGCCAAUACUUUCUGCUUUUGGCCAGGUGACACUUUUCCUCUUUAGAAUUCCUAGAAUAGGCACUCAGUGAAUAUCUGAUGGGGAAAAAAAGAGAAAAAA
rnacentral:lncRNA from 1 species